rnacentral:lncRNA from 1 species
GAGCCUCCACAUUCCCCUUGCUGUAGAGAUGAAUUGAUGUCAAAAUCUUGUGAACUCCAUUGCAACUCGUAGCUCAACCAUUCAGAUCUUCUCAAAUAUAAGUAUCUUCUUCUUGUUGUAAGAGUUUGUCAUCAUCUUAAAAAUCUGAAAUUCGAUACUUACUUUUCCUCUGAUUUGGUUAUAAGGCAUGCUCCCCUCUCUUUUGAUCAAGAAAUCGGAUAUCUUUGACUGAAUGUAUCAUAAUAAUUUAAGUAAAUUUUGUAUCGAUUGCACUUCCACUCACCUAAAUCUCUCACCAGAUGCUAUGUAAUCGAUUCCGUUGGAAUAGAACUCCAAGUACUUAACUUUAUUUUAAUUCAUGUUAGAUAAAGCUCUGAUUUUCUCUCAAAAUGAAAAUUACUAGUAUGCAGAUUUACUUAUCCCUUUCCAAAGGAAUGGACCUCUUAGAGAUUAAUACCACUUUUACAUUAGUUUAAGCAAAUCUACAAGACCUAGUAAUAUUUCAAUUACUUUAUUAGUCUGUAC